rnacentral:ncRNA from 1 species
CAAACAUGGGGCUCACACGAAAGCUGCUGUGGCGCAAUGAAGGUGAAGGGCACCGUCCGGGGGCCCGAGGUGGGAUCCCGAGGCCUCUCCAGUUCCCCAAGGGUGCACCACCGGCCCGUCUCGCCUGCCACGUCAGGGAGGUGGAGCACGAGUGCACUUGUUAGGACCCGAAAGAUGGUGAACUAUGCCUAAGCAGGGUGAAGCCAGAGGAAACUCUGGUGGAGGUCCCUAGUAGUCCUGACGUGCAAAUCGGUCGUCCAACCUGGGUAUAGGGGCAAAGACUAAUCGAACCAUCUAGUAGCUGG